GCCCUUUCCUUGCUCAGCCACUGCAGAAUGGUGCCCAUGCAACACCAUGCAGUGGGGGCCCUGUCCCACACCUUGCUUACACCCAGCUCCUGGCUGUCCUUCACUGACAAGCAGCUCCCUGGUAAGAUAAACCCACAACUACUAUUGCAGGAGUGGUGAAAGCUGAGACUCUUCUGAUACUUCUACACAGAAAUCCUCUGUGCUGUACAAGUUUAUAAUCUGAGAAGUGGAACGUAAGACAGAAAAUUGCAUCCAGAGCACCGCAGUCCAAGUAAACCAUCUCUGUGCCUCUGCUUUAUCUUAAUAAUUAAAGUGAGUACCGGCACAUUUCCCAAG